AGUGAACGCUGGCGGUAGGCCUAACACAUGCAAGUCGAACGGCAGCACAGUAAGAGCUUGCUCUUACGGGUGGCGAGUGGCGGACGGGUGAGGAAUACAUCGGAAUCUACUUUUUCGUGGGGGAUAACGUAGGGAAACUUACGCUAAUACCGCAUACUACCUACGGGUGAAAGCAGGGGAUCUUCGGACCUUGCGCGAUUGAAUGAGCCGAUGUCGGAUUAGCUAGUUGGCGGGGUAAAGGCCCACCAAGGCGACGAUCCGUAGCUGGUCUGAGAGGAUGAUCAGCCACACUGGAACUGAGACACGGUCCAGACUCCUACGGGAGGCAGCAGUGGGGAAUAUUGGACAAUGGGCGCAAGCCUGAUCCAGCCAUACCGCGUGGGUGAAGAAGGCCUUCGGGUUGUAAAGCCCUUUUGUUGGGAAAGAAAAGCAGCAGGUUAAUACCCCGCUGCUCUGACGGUACCCAAAGAAUAAGCACCGGCUAACUUCGUG
rnacentral:rRNA from 1 species